rnacentral:rRNA from 1 species
GACGAACGCUGGCGGCGUGCUUAACACAUGCAAGUCGAACGGUAAGGCCCUUCGGGGUACACGAGUGGCGAACGGGUGAGCAACACGUGGGUGAUCUGCCCUGCACUUUGGGAUAAGCCUGGGAAACUGGGUCUAAUACCGAAUAUGACCAUGGACUUCACGGUUUGUGGUGGAAAGCUUUUGCGGUGUGGGAUGGGCCCGCGGCCUAUCAGCUUGUUGGUGGGGUAAUGGCCUACCAAGGCGACGACGGGUAGCCGGCCUGAGAGGGUGACCGGCCACACUGGGACUGAGAUACGGCCCAGACUCCUACGGGAGGCAGCAGUGGGGAAUAUUGCACAAUGGGCGCAAGCCUGAUGCAGCGACGCCGCGUGGGGGAUGACGGCCUUCGGGUUGUUAAACCGUCUUUCUACCAGGGACGAAGCGAGAGUGACGGUACCUGGAGAGAAGGACCGGCCAACUACGUGCCAGCAGCCGCGGU